UCCCGGAAACAGUUUAAGCUCAACAACAUUCAUUUUUUACCCUCGAGUGUGUUGAAUGUCUAAAACUCAAGUGUUCGUUUAUCCUGCUGGGGUUUUAAAGAAACAUUUACAGCGGUGGGAAUGAAUCUGCAGCUUCCAGAUGGUUCCUGAUGAGUGAAAAGUGAACUUUGCGCCUCCUCCUCACAGGAAAGAUUUAAAGUAUGGAUACAGUGGGAGUGAAUGUGAUGGAAACAGCAGCUCUAGGGAGACCUUUCCAGCUGGGGAUGCUGUAUGACUGCAGGAAAGAUGCUCU